rnacentral:misc_RNA from 1 species
UUUUUUUCAUUGUUAAAAAAAAAAAAAUGCAUUUAUUUGUGUAACAAUCUCCACUAAUAUUUGAAUACAUAAAAAUUAUAUGGUAGGUGCUUCCAUGGCCUUUCCAGCCGUGUUUGCUAGCACCUGCAACUUUCAAAACGCCCUACAGAAAUUACAGGAUAAUUGAUCAAUUCCAACCUUAUAUAAACUAGACAAUGAAAAUAAGGGGUUAAAAAAACCAAAAAGAAAAA